GACGAACGCUGGCGGCGUGCCUAAUACAUGCAAGUCGAGCGAACCGACGAGGUGCUUGCACCUUUGACGUUAGCGGCGAACGGGUGAGUAACACGUAAGGAAUCUACCUAUAAGAGGGGGACAACAGUUGGAAACGACUGCUAAUACCGCAUAAGCCCACAGCUCCGCAUGGAGCAGAGGGAAAAGGAGCAAUCCGCUUUGAGAUGGCCUCGCGUCCGAUUAGCUAGUUGGUGAGGUAACGGCCCACCAAGGCAACGAUCGGUAGCCGGACUGAGAGGUUGAUCGGCCACAUUGGGACUGAGACACGGCCCAG
rnacentral:rRNA from 1 species